UACAGAGGGUGCAAGCGUUGUUCGGAAUCAUUGGGCGUAAAGCGCGUGUAGGCGGCCUUCUAAGUCUGGUGUGAAAGCCCGGGGCUUAACCCCGGAAGUGCACUGGAUACUGGAAGGCUAGAGGACGAGAGAGGACAUUGGAAUUCAUGGUGUAGGGGUGAAAUCCGUAGAUAUCAUGAGGAACAUCAGUGGCGAAGGCGAAUGUCUGGCUCGUAUCUGACGCUGAGACGCGAAAGCGUGGGGAGCAAACAGG
rnacentral:rRNA from 1 species